rnacentral:rRNA from 1 species
UACGGGGGGAGCAAGCGUUGUUCGGAUUUACUGGGCGUAAAGGGCGCGUAGGCGGCGCAACAAGUCACUUGUGAAAUCUCCGGGCUUAACCCGGAGCGGCCAAGUGAUACUGUCGUGCUAGAGUGCGGAAGGGGCUACUGGAAUUCUCGGUGUAGCGGUGAAAUGCGCAGAUAUCAGGAGGAACACCGAUGGCGAAGGCAGCUCGCUGGGACGGUACUGACGCUGAGACGCGAAAGCGUGGGGAGCAAACAGG